GCAGUCUGGGAUCUUCAGUUUAAAAGCUUUCUAGUGAAGGUUGUUUCUUUUAUUAUUAUGCUUCAGCAAGAGGAUAAUGAGGAGAAGACAGAACUACGGAAGAAAAGGAGUUUAGAGAAACAAGGGCAUAAGGGUGAAAGCAACACUGAUCACAUCCAAUCUGGGUUUGCCUACUACUCAGUAAAUUAGGAUUAUUAGGGAAUACUAAUAAAAUGUCAGUGUCAUUACCAUAUAUGGUCAUUUUUCAGCAGCAAAAGAGACCUCUUGUGUGUUCAUAGUACCAGACCCUUUAAAUUUACAUACUGGCUUCACUUCACUUCACAAGCUCAAAAGUACCAUCAGAGCAGGCAGGUUGGCUUGGCUUGGCCAAGAGAUGCUCUCUCCCUUCUUCUGGAAUCUUUAAACAACUAAAUUCACUGGAGGAUGGCAAGAUACAGACGACAGCGCCGCACCCGCGGCAGAAGAGAGAGGAAAGUUCCUCCAAGUAGAAGGAACAGGAAGAACAGGAAGUUCUAUAAUGAACCACUCGGAAAGAAGAAAGGGUACACACGUGUCUGUGCCACGUACUACUACUGGAAAAGAAGUAGAUAACCUCCUGCAAUUCCUUUUCUCAUUCCCAUUGAUCAUCAUCACCAUCUUCAUUGUGAAAACAAGCAGUUCCAUCACACAAGACACCAAGAACCAGAUGGAAGACUUGGCAAGUUCCAGGGGCCCUCUUUGUAAAGGAGAAUGCCAGACCUGUCAAUAAACCCAUAAAAUGCA